CCUACGGGAGGCUACAGUGGGGAAUAUUGGACAAUGGGGGCAACCCUGAUCCAGCCAUGCCGCGUGUGUGAAGAAGGCCCUCGGGUUGUAAAGCACUUUCAGUGAGGAAGAACGCCUGGUGGUUAAUACCCAUCAGGAAAGACAUCACUCACAGAAGAAGCACCGGCUAACUCCGUGCCAGCAGCCGCGGUAAUACGGAGGGUGCGAGCGUUAAUCGGAAUUACUGGGCGUAAAGCGCGCGUAGGUGGCUUGAUAAGCCGGUUGUGAAAGCCCCGGGCUCAACCUGGGAACGGCAUCCGGAACUGUCAAGCUAGAGUGCAGGAGAGGAAGGUAGAAUUCCCGGUGUAGCGGUGAAAUGCGUAGAGAUCGGGAGGAAUACCAGUGGCGAAGGCGGCCUUCUGGACUGACACUGACACUGAGGUGCGAAAGCGUGGGUAGCAAACAGGAUUAGAUACCCCAGUAGUC
rnacentral:rRNA from 1 species